AAUCCAUAGGUUAAUGAGGCGAACCGGGGGAACUGAAACAUCUAAGUACCCCGAGGAAAAGAAAUCAACCGAGAUUCCCCCAGUAGCGGCGAGCGAACGGGGAGGAGCCCAGAGCCUGAAUCAGCAUGUGUGUUAGUGGAAGCGUCUGGAAAGGCGCGCGAUACAGGGUGACAGCCCCGUACACAAAAGCGCAUGUGCUGUGAGCUCGAUGAGUAGGGCGGGACACGUGGUAUCCUGUCUGAAUAUGGGGGGACCAUCCUCCAAGGCUAAAUACUCCUGACUGACCGAUAGUGAACCAGUACCGUGAGGGAAAGGCGAAAAGAACCCCGGCGAGGGGAGUGAAAAAGAACCUGAAACCGUGUACGUACAAGCAGUGGGAGCACAGGUUUACCUGUGUGACUGCGUACCUUUUGUAUAAUGGGGCAGCGACUUAUAUUCUGUAGCAAGGUUAACCGAAUAGGGGAGCCGGAGGGAAACCGAGUCUUAAUUGGGCGUUAAGUUGCAGGGUAUAGACCCGAAACCCGGUGAUCUAGCCAUGGGCAGGUUGAAGGUUGGGUAACACUAACUGGAGGACCGAACCGACUAAUGUUGAAAAAUUAGCGGAUGACCUGUGGCUGGGGGUGAAAGGCCAAUCAAACCGGGAGAUAGCUGGUUCUCCCCGAAAGCUAUUUAGGUAGCGCCUCGUGAAUUCAUCUCCGGGGGUAGAGCACUGUUUCGGCUAGGGGGCCAUCCCGGCUUACCAACCCGAUGCAAACUGCGAAUACCGGAGAAUGUUAUCACGGGAGACACACGGCGGGUGCUAACGUCCGUCGUGAAGAGGGAAACAACCCAGACCGCCAGCUAAGGUCCCAAAGUCAUGGUUAAGUGGGAAACGAUGUGGGAAGGCCCAGACAGCCAGGAUGUUGGCUUAGAAGCAGCCAUCAUUUAAAGAAAGCGUAAUAGCUCACUGGUCGAGUCGGCCUGCGCGGAAGAUGUAACGGGGCUAAACCAUGCACCGAAGCUGCGGCAGCGACGCUGAUGCGUUGUUGGGUAGGGGAGCGUUCUGUAAGCCUGCGAAGGUGGCCUGUGAGGGUUGCUGGAGGUAUCAGAAGUGCGAAUGCUGACAUAAGUAACGAUAAAGCGGGUGAAAAGCCCGCUCGCCGGAAGACCAAGGGUUCCUGUCCAACGUUAAUCGGGGCAGGGUGAGUCGACCCCUAAGGCGAGGCCGAAAGGCGUAGUCGAUGGGAAACGGGUUAAUAUUCCCGUACUUGGUGUUACUGCGAAGGGGGGACGGAGAAGGCUAUGUUGGCCGGGCGACGGUU
rnacentral:rRNA from 1 species